AAAACGACUCUCGGCAACGGAUAUCUCGGCUCUCGCAUCGAUGAAGAACGUAGCGAAAUGCGAUACUUGGUGUGAAUUGCAGAAUCCCGUGAACCAUCGAGUCUUUGAACGCAAGUUGCGCCCCAAGCCGUUAGGCCGAGGGCACGCCUGCCUGUGUGUCAC
rnacentral:rRNA from 1 species